rnacentral:rRNA from 1 species
UCCGUAGGUGAACCUGCGCGCAGGAUCAUUAACACUAUAUCCAACAAACUCAACCAAGCCUUACAGUUGCAGGCGUUGUCUGCAGCCUAAACCUAACCAAAAGAAGCUUAACCAAGCCAAACCUAAACCAAAUCCCUAACGAUGGAUAUCUAGGUUCCCAGAACGAUGAAGAACGCAGCGAAGUGCGAUAAGCAUUGCGAAUUGCAGAACCGUGAGUCAUCAGAUUUUUGAACGCAACUGGCUCCGCAGGGCUCCCCCUGCGGAAUGCUUCCCUCAGUGUGUUAUUAUCUCGUCACCCAAAGCAUAAUGCGAGAGAUGCCCUUCUCUUGUUAAGCUUGAAAGCACUCUGCCUACGCGGUGGCACCUUCGGGCGCUACACUCAAUGCAGCAGUCACGUCUCACGAUGUGAACUCAUUGAGAGCGAAGUCAGUACAGCUCGCUGUCAGUGCUUAGACAUCCAAAUUCUUUCAUCAUCUGAGGUGAAGUAGGACCACCCGCUGAACUUAAGCAUAUCAAUAAGCGGAGGA